rnacentral:sRNA from 1 species
GUUGGGUACGGAGAUAUGUACCCCAAGUCGUGGCUUGGCUACAUUGUAGGCAGUCUUUGUGCUGUAUUGGGGAUAAUUAUGAUACAAAUGCCCGUACCGAUUAUUGUUAGCAAC